GUAAAAAGGUGGGCAAUGUUAAAAAAAAAAAUAGUGGAUAAUAAGGGGAUUAAAUUACAAGAAGAUAAUAAACCUCUCUCACAUUAAGUUAGAGGAUUUAAAGAGUAAAGUGGGGAGUUGGUGAAAGAAAAGCUCUUGAAAUUUCUUUAGUUAAUACUCAGCCACUAAUUGGGUCAAAUUGAUAAUCCAAUGAAAUAUCUCUUUAAUGGUCUGAC
rnacentral:lncRNA from 1 species